rnacentral:tRNA from 1 species
GGAAGUCGAAGGUUAAAAGUCCUUCCUAUUACUUACAA